CAAUAGACAAUAACCCAUCAGAUUUCCUCCUCCCAAAACCCUACAUUUUUUAUAUCUCAUUUCUCUCAUUCAAGAGGAGCCGACUGUUUUUCCCCUCCUCGAAAAUCUAAUUUGCAAAAAAUCAUAACUCCACCUCACAAAAUCCGGCUAACCUCACACCACAAUCAGAAUACACACACAAAAAAUAGGGAAAAGAUAUAGAGAGUGACGAGAUACAGCGAGGGGAAUCUGGACCAAAAAAAUAGAGAAGGAAAAAGGGGUGAGAUCGAACUAAGACAGGGAAAAAAUAAAAAAGAUUUAAGGUAUGUUUCGAACUUUGAAAGUGCAAAAUGAAGUUGGAGUUGCAAUGUUUUUAAAUGAAAUUAGACUUCCCUUCCAGAUUUUCUCUUCUUUUAUUUACCAUUACAUGUAUUAAUUAGUUUGAUAGUCAAUGUUUCUAGUUGUAAUUAAAUAUCAGCAUCAACACCCUAUUCCCUAGUAAGAUUCAGAAUUCGAGUGUUCAAAAUCUAAAUCUGUAUAGUAUUCUAUUUUGGAACAAUGUUAAAUUAUGGUUGGUAAGGCUACCAUAUGAGUCUAGGCAGCUGAAUAUUUUUGACACGUUUGGCAUGAAAUCAGUGAAUAUUCAUGCUUAAAGGAAUGGAAUUGGACAGAGUUGAGUCCAUGUUAGUAAAUGUAUUUUUUUUAUGUUUUUUGAAAUCAUGUUAGUGUUUGGUUAGAAGUCA